rnacentral:lncRNA from 1 species
CACCCUUCUAUCCAAAAUUAGUUUGAUUGAGCAAGAAAAAAGAGCAGCUCGCCAGAUUCUAGCCUGCAUGUGCCAAGGAGGAGCAAGAUCACAAGGCUAAGAGAGAAGCUGUCGAAUAUUUCGCAGCCAAGGGAGAGUGGUGGUCAUAGCUUCCUACAUCAAACUAGUCCUUGAAGGUCACCAAUCACAACUUGUUGCCUGGUACCAACCCCAGGAGGUGUCCAUUGCCCAAACGAAGGUCCCUCAUCGAUCAUCUCCCCUUCAACAAGAAUCCUUAGAAAUCAUCAGAUCUUGAACAUGCAACACACUUGCCACUCAAAGGAAAAAAACCAACACCCAGAAAAGAACCAAACAAAAGAAAAAAGACAAACUAUAUACACCUCCCACCCGGAGGAGAAGGAACCCACUACAUUGGGCUAGAGAAACGGAGCUUCGCUUGCCUAGUUUGAGUAGAGGAAGCCACGAAUGGGUAAAUUUCAUUGAUGAUCCCUGAACUUAGAGUGUUAUAAUAAUGUUGUCCUUAAACUUUAAUUUGUAAUAUAAAACUCCUUAAAUUUUAAUUUGUAACAUAAAACUCCUUGAACUUUAAUUUAGUUAACAUAAAACUCCUUGUGAUCUAU